UACAGAGGUCUCAAGCGUUGUUCGGAAUUACUGGGCGUAAAGGGCGCGUAGGCGGUCUUGCAAGUCCUGUGUGAAAUCCCUCGGCUCAACUGAGGAACUGCACAGGAAACUGCUUGGCUUGAGUUCGGGAGAGGGAAGCGGAAUUCCGGGUGUAGCGGUGAAAUGCGUAGAUAUCAGGAAGAACACCAAUGGCGUAGGCAGCUCUCUGGGACGGUACUGACGCUGAGACGCGAAAGCGUGGGGAGCGAACAGG
rnacentral:rRNA from 1 species